CUUUUUAUCCAUAUGUGGUGACGUGUCGGUGUUUUAGUACAAAGCUAAGUGAUUAUUGACAAUGUUCCCGGCCACUAGAUGGCAGCUCUAAACCCCUCUCUCCCCUUGUGUAGAUCAGGGCACCCUGGUUGGGAAACACAUGUAUAGACACUGGCUACUCUUUAUUUAUGCCAUGCUGGAACCUCCAGAUUUAAAAACACAAGGCAACAUCCUUAUGGGGAUGGCCUUAUCUGUUUUUUUUGUUUGUUCUUGCUUUUUUUUAUUUGUUUUUAUUCUACUUUUGUAGUAGUAAAUGUAAAAUAUUCUUGUAAAUAUCUACACAUUUUAGUAUUUUAAGGCAUUAAAGGAAAGCUAAGUAAUAAAUUCUAAUGUCUGUCGUGUUCUUGCUCAUUUUGUUUUAGGACCACGUUCCCAGGGUGUAAGAGGAAUAGAUAGCACCAGUGUUUUCCCCAACCAGGGUGCCUCCAGCUGUAGCUAAUCUGCAACUCCCAGCAUGCCCGGAAAGCCGACAGCAUGCUGGGAGUUGUAGUUUUUCAACAGCUGGAGGCACCCUGGUUGUGAAAACACUGUCCUGGAGGCAUACAUGCUUCUUGACUGUCUUAGUAUUUGUUUUAUUCUUUAUCAAGGUGAUACCAUUGAUCAUACGUAUUUAGGUAACCUUGGUUAUAGUUCAUGAAACAGUUUUGUGUCUGUACAGUUAAGCAUCAUGGCUGCCGAUCUUUGCCUGGCUUGUCUGAUGGCAUUGAAUUUUUAGAACAAAGGACCCUUUAGGUUUUUCAUAGGACAGUGUUUUCCCACCAGGGUGCCUCCAGCUGUUGCAAAACUACAACUACCAGCAUGCCCAUAUAGCCAUAGACUGUUCGGGAGUUGUAGUUUUCCAACAGCUGAAGCCCCCCAGUUGGGACACCCUGGCCUAGGUGAUGCCGCCUGCAAUGAUCUGCAAAAUCACUGGAUGUACUUGAGGUGUGCUGAUUCUUGUAGUCCUCCAAGGCACCUGAUACAAGUGCAAAUCAGUGGCCAUCACAUCUUAUCCCUGUGUUUUUUCAAGCAGUGUAUCCAGCUGUUGCAACUCCAAGCAUGCCCAGACAACCGACUGCUGGGAGUUGUUUUGCAACAGCUGGAGACACACGAUUUAGAAGGCACACUUAUCCCAACAUAUGGGAAAAGAGUGCUUAAAGGGGUACUCCACUGAAACUUAGACUCAUAGUGAGGCUCUCUCUAUUUAGGCUUGUAGAGCGGGGUCCCCCCUUGUGUCCACAUUCUCUAUAUUCGGGAGACUAUUCCUGUAAAGCUCCACCUGCAGCCAUGAGGUGGAAUAAACAGUUUUUAAAAUUCUUAGCAAUUGCAGUAUUUUUCCUGGUAAUAUUUGAGUACACGGUCAAUUGGGUCUCUUCAUUCCCUUGCCAAUAGGGCAGCCUUUCCCAACCAGGGAGCCUAAACUACAACUCCCAGCAUGCCCGGACAGCCUUUUGCUGUCCGGGCAUGCUGGGAGUUGUAGUUUUGCAACAGCUGGAGGCACCCUGGUUGGGAAACACUGCAAUAGGGUGUUUCCCUUCAGCCUGUUGUUGUCCAGUAAAUGCGGACCUUAUGGGGACACAACCUAUUUCCUUGGGGGAAUGGUAACACCCAGUUACUAGUAUAGCCUGGGGGGGGGGGGCAUUAUGGCCCAGAAUUGCAGCUAUUGAAAAUGAAUGUGGUCACAUUGCGACCCACAUGUUUGUCAUCAAAAAUCCUGAAUGCUUCUUAACUUGCAACGUGACCGCAUUCACCUCGGUUAGCUGCAAUAGGAGCGGCACAGCGAGGGCCAAAUAUAGCCCUAGCUCAUAUAUUUCCAGGAGUAGUGACAGAGGAACAGGGCAGCAUAGGGUUCUAAAUUGGCAGUUCAAUGAAAAAUUCUGACAAAUUGACUCAAUCCAACAGACUGAUAAUGUACAAAAGUGUUUUCAAAGUGCGCAUCCAGCUUUGAAAAACUACAACUCCCAGACCAAGAAUGCUGGGAGUUGUAGUUUUGCAACGGCUGGAGGCAUGCUGGUUUGGAAACACUGUUAUAAGGCAGUGGUCUCUAAACUGUGGACCUUCAGCUGUUGCAAAACUACAACUCCCAGUAUGCCCGGACAGCCGUUGGCUGUCCGGGCAUGCUGGGAGUUGUAGUUUUGCAACAGCUGGUGGCACCCUGGACAUAGAUUGUGUCUGUGUGUAUCGAACAGACUGAAAACACUUCCUAUCUGUACAUUAUCAGUCUGUUCGAUACACACAGACACAAUCUAUGUCCAGGGUGCCACCAGCUGUUGCAAAACUACAACUCCCAGCAUGCCCAGACAGCCUUAGGCUAUCCGGGCAUGCUGGGAGUUGUAGUUUUGCCACAGCUGGAGGCAUGCUGGUUGGGAAACUGUUAUAAGGCAGUGGUCUCUAAGCUGUAGACCUUCAGCUGUUGCAAAACUACUACUCCCAGUAUGACUGUCCGGGCAUGCUGGGAGUUGUAAUUUUGCAACAGCUGGAGGCACACUGGACAUCGUCUGUUUAGUACUGACUGCUUAGGGCAAGGUCAGCCCUGCGCUAUUGUUUCUGCUGAUCCUGGGGAUGUGUAUAAUGCACGACCCCAUCAGCUGAUCAUACAGGUAUAUACUUCUGUAUAAUGAUUGUAAUAUUAUAACCUAUGGUGGAAACUCUGGGGCUAAUACAUGUAUCUGCUAAUGUACCAUAUAAACCUAUAUACAUUUCAUACAUUUCAUACAUUGUAUCCAUGAAUACUGCACACUCCUGUCUUUUUGGUUAUUUUUAAUUUUAUUAUAAUACACGAGCUUAAAACCUCUGUCUACUACUUUGGAAGCCGGGCUGGUACAUGUAGUUCACAUUAUGAUGUUCUCCACUUUUUUUUUAUUUAUUUAUUUUUUUCCCUCCAGCUGUUGCAAAUACUACAACUCUUUGCAUGUCAUGACUGCUGCAUGCUGGGAAUUGUAGUUUCACAACAUCCUAGACACUGUCUGGCAUUGAUUAUUGAUCCCGUAUAAUUCCUACAUGAUAUAAAUUUACAUUAAAGGGGUACUCCGGUGUAAAAAAAUUUUGUUUUUUUUUUUAUCAACUGGUGCCAGAAAGUUAAAAAGAUUUGUAAAUUACUUCUAUUAAAUCUUUAUCCUUCCAGUACUUAUUAGCGGCUGUAUGAUAAAGUUCUUUUUGUUUUUGGAUUUCCUUUUUUUUUUUUUUUUUUUUUUUUUUUUUUUUUCCUCUAACCACAGUGCUCUCUGGUGACACCUCUGUCUGGUAUCAGGAACUGUCCAGAGCAGGAGAGGUUUGCUAUGGAGAUUUUAUCCUGAUCUGGGACAGUUCCUGAUACGGACAGAGGUGUCAGCAGAGAGCACUAUGGACAGAAAAAAAAGAAAAGGACUUUCUCUGUAGUAUAGACAGCUAAUUAGUACUGGAAGGAUAAAGAUUUAAUAGAAGUAAUUUACAAAUCUUUUUAACUUUCUGGCACCAGUUGAUUAAAAACUAAAUAUUUUUCACCGGAGUACCCCUUUAAACUUUAAUUUGCAGGACAAUGCAUCGUGUUCUAUGCCUGAUUAUAUCAUCCUAAUACCUUACACCUAUUGAAUAAAAAAAAAGUGCCCUCUUAAAAUGCUAGUGUGAACUAGACCAUAAUAUAACACUUUCACAGAGAUUUGCAUGGGACUGCCGGCAAUUUGGUAGACUGCUCUCUUGGGCAGAGCGCCGAGAACUAGCCGGCAGUUUUCAAGUUAAUACUGCCGCCGCAACAACUUUAGUGUUACCCUUUGAAAGCAGUGCUUCCGAUCCAGGGUGCCUCCAGCUGUUGCAAAACUACAACUCUCAGCGUGCCCAGACAGCCAACGGCUGUCUGGGCAUGCUGCGAGUUGUAGUUUUGCAACAGCUGGAGGCACCCUGGAUGGGAAGCACUGCUUUAAAUGGACCACCAUUGCCAAACAUUCUGCACUGAUAUGUACUAAAUAAAUAUAAUUUUUUUAAUUUAAUAAAUAUUAAAUAAAUAUAUUUAAUAUAUAUUAAAUACAUUUAUUUAAUAAAAAUGUAUUAAAUAUUUUAUAUUUAUGGUGAUUCUGACACUGCUCCAAAUCCCCUGCAUAGCCAUAGAGUUAAAAAGAUUAAAAUUCUGUCUCUAGUCAGACAAUUUAAUUUCUUGAGCCCCUCCGAAGGAUUUGAGCCCACUAUAUUAAAAAAAAUAUAUAUAUAUAUAUAAUUUUUCUUUUAACAUAAUGUUGAAUAAAAAAAAUGGUAAGUGGUGGGAUACUGUUCUAAAGAAUAAAUAAAUCCCCCCCCCCCCCCGCCCCCAAAGUUUGCUUCAUUAGUCCCAUAGGUUUUCAGUAUGUCUUCCCACCCACCCCCAAAAAAAAUCACCGUAAUUGAAAAUAACUUAUCUUUUGUCGCAGUGUCCCAUUCCACCAUAAUGUAAAGAAUGAAAGCUUUAAGCACGCUUUGCUCUUUUCUAUAUGACGUUCCUCUCAACCCCCUCCCCCUUUGUAUAAAGAGAUUGUAGAUAACGUGGAUGUUCUAAUUAUAGAAAUUAAUCUUGUUACUUGUUACACAAUUUUGGUCGGUUUUCAUUGCUUCUUGAGAAUAAUUGUCCAUGAAUAUAGUUGAUAUGCUGUGUUAUGUAUAACUUUUCUAAUAAAAGCCUUGAUAAUCUUAAUCAA